UACGGGAGGCAGCAGUAGGGGAAUCUUCCGCAAUGGACGAAAGUCUGACCGGAGCAACGCCGCGUGAACGAUGAAGGCUUUCGGGUCGUAAAGUUCUGUUGUUAGGGAAGAACAAGUACCGGAGUAACUGCCGGUACCUUGACGGUACCUAACCAGAAAGCCACGGCUAACUACGUGCCAGCAGCCGCGGUAAUACGUAGGUGGCAAGCGUUGUCCGGAAUUAUUGGGCGUAAAGCGCGCGCAGGCGGUCCUUUUAAAGGUCUGAUGUGAAAGCCCACGGCUCAACCGUGGAGGGUCAUUGGAAACUGGGGACUUGAGUGCAGAAGAGGAGAGUGGAAUUCCACGGUGUAGCGGUGAAAUGCGUAGAGAUGUGGAGGAACACCAGUGGCGAAGGCGACUCUCUGGGUCUGUAACUGACGCUGAGGCGCGAAAGCGUGGGGA
rnacentral:rRNA from 1 species